GAUUGGCUUAAUAAAUAAUUAAGUGUUAUAAAAGUGGUAUAAAACGAAAGAUAUUGUAUGUGACUCGAUGUGAGGAUUGUGUCGAAUUGAAUCAUUUCUAUUAUAAUCCAGGCCUUGUCACCCAAUGAUUAUCAACAAUCCAAAAAUAAUUAAGAUAAAUUAUUCAUGUUUUUUUAAUUUUUAUUUAUAUAGUACCAACAACACUGAAACAUUUUUUUUUUUUUUCUUUUCGACGCUUGCGCAAGUGUAUUUAUUUUUGUCGUUGAGGGAUAGAUACAGAUCACCAGAAAAUCGGCUAUGAAAGAAUAUUCUUUAUUUCGUCAUAUAAUCAUACAAGAAAGUUGGAGCUGGUUAGAGCUGGUUAGAGCUGUAGACAUAUUCAUAUAUCAAACUGAACCAAACGUACGAUUACCCAUGACGUCUUUGUCUCAAACUCAGCUAGAUAAAACGGCUGUCGAAAAUUUUCGCGAGUAUCUGCAAAUUCCAUCGGUUCAACCAAACGUUAACUAUGAUGAAUGUGUUGCUUUCUUACAUAGACAAGCAAAGAGUUUGGAUUUGCCAAUUGCUGUUCAUGAGCCAUUUUCAAAUAAACCAAUUGUCGUCAUAACAUGGACAGGAACUGAUACAUCAGCAUCAUCAAUUUUAUUAAACAGUCACAUGGAUGUUGUUCCUGUAUUUGCAGACAAAUGGACGUAUCCACCAUUCAGUGCACAUAUUGAUGAUGCUGGUAAUAUUUAUGCUCGUGGUUCACAAGACAUGAAAUGCGUUGGUAUACAAUAUUUAGAAGCAGUAAGAAGAUUAAAAUUAAAUGGAAUAAAAUUAAAACGUACAUUACAUAUGUCAUUUGUGCCUGAUGAAGAAAUUGGUGGUAUAUUGGGAAUGCGUGCAUUUAUACAUAGUAAAGAUUUUAAAAAUUUAAAUGUUGGAUUUGCACUUGAUGAGGGUGUUGCAUCACCAACUGAUAAAUUUUACAUGUUCAAUGGUGAAAGAUCAGUUUGGCAAGUAUGGAUACACUGUAAUGGGCCACCUGGACAUGGCUCAAUGCUCAUACCCAAUACUGCUGGUGAAAAAUUACGUUUUAUCAUUGAUUGUUUUAUGGAUCUACGAGCAGAAUCAAGUGCCAAACUUGCUACUGGAAAACAUAAAAUCGGAGAUUUAUUAUCAAUUAAUCUGAAUCAAAUUAAGGGUGGUGUACAACUAAAUGUUAUUCCUGAUGAAUUAAAGGUUGCAUUUGAUAUAAGAAUACCUCCGACAACUGAUCAUGAUGAAUUGGAAAAAUUAUUUCGUAGGUGGUGCAAAGAAGCCGGUGAUGAUAUAACAAUUGAAUUUGAACAAAAAAGUCCAAAAAUUGAAUCAACAAAAUUGGAUGACAGUAAUCCAUAUUGGAUUGCUUUCAAAAAAACAACAGACAAAUUGGGCAUUGAAUUGGAUAUUGGAAUAUUUACUGGUGCUACUGACAGUCGAUACGUGCGUUCGUAUUUACCCAUAAAGCAGGAUGACUGCAAAGAGGAUACUUUUUGAGAAGGACCAACAAGUCUCUGUAGAUGAUGUUGAGGAGAAAAUAGAUCUCAUCAACUCUCUUGAUAAUGAUUCAUUAGCACAAAUAUUCAUGCUGCUGCCAAUAUCUGAGAGGAUAACUAUGGAUCAAGUUUGUUCCAAAUGGAAAGAGGCCUGUCAACUAGCUUGGUAUGACAUUAAAAAAUACAAAAGUACCAAUGCAGUUGUUCGUAGAUAUGAAAAAUGUAUUUUAACACAAUCAUAUGUAGAAAAAAUAUUAUUCUAUUGUGGUAUUUAUUUAAAAGAAUUAAUUCUUUCAAAAAUUUGUAAGUCAAGUAUCAUGCCAGUAGUUGCUAAAUACUGCAAAAAUUUAACAACACUUGAAUUCGAAAUUGACGUAAAUAAGGAUGAUUGUUAUACUGAUCGCUUUGUUGAAGCAUUCACACAGUUGAAGCAAUUGAAAGUCGUUAAAAUACAUGUAACUGGAGAUAAAUUUCAAUUUCAAACACUGAAUAGUCUUCCAAAAGAUAUAAAUGAAAUUCAUUUAUUUUUUAGAACUACUGAAUCACCAAAUAGGUUGGGUAUAGACCCAGAACAAUGGCUUAUGGGUUAUUCUCCAACUUAUUAUGUAUCACCAUCACUUUUUAAUAUCAAAUUCAUUUUGUUUUAGUCUUUGAGAGAAUUUACCAAUCUUCAAAGUUUGACGAUACGUUCUUACAACAUCACCGGCAUUAUUCAAGAAAUAUCAAAAAAAAACAACACUUGUUUAUCUCGAUCUCCAAAACUGUCAAGCUGAAAAUGAGAUUUUUACAUUUAAUCAACUUUCAAACCUGGAACAUCUCGACAUUAAAGAUACGUUGUUCUGGAAUAGUCAAUUGCGAGAUA